rnacentral:rRNA from 1 species
CCUACGGGAGGCAGCAGUAAGGAAUCUUGCGCAAUGGGCGAAAGCCUGACGCAGCGACGCCGCGUGGGCGAUGAAGGCCUUCGGGUUGUAAAGCCCUUUUCUGGGGGACGAGGAAGGACGGUACCCCUGGAAGAAGCCACGGCUAACUCUGUGCCAGCAGUCGCGGUAAGACAGAGGCGGCGAGCGUUACCCGGAUUCACUGGGCGUAAAGGGUGUGUAGGCGGUCGCGCAUGUCGUCGGUGAAAUCUCCCGGCUCAACGGGGAGAGGUCCGACGAAACUGCGGGGCUGGAGGGCCGGAGAGGGAGGCGAAACUUCCAGAGUAGGGGUAAAAUGCGUAGAUACUGGAAGGUACCUCAAUAGCGAAGGCAGCCUCCUGGCCGGUUCCUGACGCUGAGACACGAAAGCGUGGGGAGCAAACCGGAUUAGAUCCCCGGGUAGU